UACAGAGGUCUCAAGCGUUGUUCGGAUUCAUUGGGCGUAAAGGGUGCGUAGGUGGCGCGGUAAGUCGGGUGUGAAAUUUCGGAGCUUAACUCCGAAACUGCAUUCGAUACUGCCGUGCUUGAGGACUGGAGAGGAGACUGGAAUUUACGGUGUAGCAGUGAAAUGCGUAGAUAUCGUAAGGAAAGACCAGUGGCGAAGGCGG
rnacentral:rRNA from 1 species